AGACCGAUCUGAAAGACCAGUUGCCUCAACCAGUGCCUCUUCAAAUAACCCUCAAGAAGUUGAGCUUGAAACUACAAACACAUCUGAAGCCUCAACUACCAAACAUUUUGGAGAAGUAGAUGCACAUCGGAUUAUUGAUUUACAAGUACAUCUACUCCAAGAUGCAAUGGACUGUGAUGAACCCAGAUCAACAGCAUCUAAUGAUUGGGCACUGAGGCGAUCCUUGUCUGAA